CAUGCAGUCGAGCGGACAGAUGGGAGCUUGCUCCCUGAUGUCAGCGGCGGACGGGUGAGUAACACGUGGGUAACCUGCCUGUAAGACUGGGAUAACUCCGGGAAACCGGGGCUAAUACCGGAUGCUUGAUUGAACCGCAGGUUCAAUUAUAAAAGGUGGCUUUUAGCUACCACUUACAGAUGGACCCGCGGCGCAUUAGCUAGUUGGUGAGGUAACGGCUCACCAAGGCAACGAUGCGUAGCCAACCUGAGAGGGUGAUCGGCCACACUGGGACUGAGACACGGCCCAGACUCCUACGGGAGGCAGCAGUAGGGAAUCUUCCGCAAUGGACGAAAGUCUGACGGAGCAACGCCGCGGGAGUGAUGAAGGUUUUCGGAUCGUAAAACUCUGUUGUUAGGGAAGAACAAGUACCGUUCGAAUAGGGCGGUACCUUGACGGUACCUAACCAGAAAGCCACGGCUAACUACGUGCCAGCAGCCGCGGUAAUACGUAGGUGGCAAGCGUUGUCCGGAAUUAUUGGGCGUAAAGCGCGCGCAGGCGGUUUCUUAAGUCUGAUGUGAAAGCCCCCGGCUCAACCGGGGAGGGUCAUUGGAAACUGGGGAACUUGAGUGCAAAAAAGGAGAGUGGAAUUCCACGUGUAGCG
rnacentral:rRNA from 2 species